rnacentral:rRNA from 1 species
UACGAAGGGGGCUAGCGUUGCUCGGAAUCACUGGGCGUAAAGCGCACGUAGGCGGAUUUUUAAGUCAGGGGUGAAAUCCUGGAGCUCAACUCCAGAACUGCCUUUGAUACUGGGGAUCUCGAGUCCGGAAGAGGUGAGUGGAACUCCGAGUGUAGAGGUGAAAUUCGUAGAUAUUCGGAAGAACACCAGUGGCGAAGGCGGCUCACUGGUCCGGUACUGACGCUGAGGUGCGAAAGCGUGGGGAGCAAACAGG